CAGAAUAUAGUUUAAUGAAAAUAUUAAUUUUGGAGAUUAAUGAUAAUUAAUAAUUUAUUCUGA
rnacentral:tRNA from 1 species